ACAGUGUCAAGAUACAAAUGAAAAGAAAAGCGCCCAUCUUACCUAUGUGCAUCUACUGCUUCCAACAUUCAAAAUACAGAAGAAAUUCACCUAAUCACGAUUACUCCUAAGUUUUCCUUCGUAAGUUAGCAAGCUAGUGUCUUAGCAAAAGAUACUAAAUUUUCUAUAAAUCAUAAACACUAGGUAAAAUACAUUUUUGCAAUUCCAUAAAAUUAUUUAAUAGUACAAUUUACAGUGCAUUUUAAUACAAAACUUAUUUUCUGAAAAAGCUAAGUUAAAAUUUCCUAAAUAAAAUUAAACUUAGGGCUCAAUGAAAAUUGUGAUCCAAUUAGAGCCAAAUACUUCCCUUCAUUUGAGGCUGAUUUGCUCCUGUUUUUGUAUGUGUAUUUUUAAUAUGCACAGACUGCGCUAAGACUUAAAAUAUGAUUUUAAAUGAGACAUUUAAUAGUUAUAAAUAUUAAAUAUGACUUCUUAAAAGACAAGUAAUAAUGGUAACACACAAUGUUGCAAAAUAAUCUAAUCCAUGUAUUCCUGGAAACCCUCUCCUUUUGCCUAUUCUAUUCAGAAAGAGAACUCUGUUAACGGUUACUAUUCCAUGAUAAAACACAAUCCAAUGGUCACAGCCAACACAGCCUUGAACAUAUGGAGUCUUUGGUCAUCUCUACACUGUACCUAUGGACAUAUGGUACACCCACACACCCGCCAUGUGCAGAUGCUCAGAGAAGCCACAGAGGGCAGCAGAUCCUCCAGAGCUAGAGCUAAGGGUUGUGACCAGCCCAUGGUGGGUGCUAGGAGCUUAACUCUCUCCAACAGUGGUAACUUAAGGUGCUAAGCCACCUUUCCAGUCCCUCUUUAUGGUUCAAUUUCUCUUUAUGGUUCAAUUACUCAAUAAAAUGUUCU
rnacentral:lncRNA from 1 species